rnacentral:rRNA from 1 species
UACGUAGGGUGCAAGCGUUGUCCGGAAUUAUUGGGCGUAAAGAGCUCGUAGGCGGUCUGUCGCGUCUGCUGUGAAAACCCGGGGCUCAACCCCGGGCUUGCAGUGGAUACGGGCAGACUAGAGUUCGGUAGGGGAGACUGGAAUUCCUGGUGUAGCGGUGAAAUGCGCAGAUAUCAGGAGGAACACCGGUGGCGAAGGCGGGUCUCUGGGCCGUAACUGACGCUGAGGAGCGAAAGCGUGGGGAGCGAACAGG